UGCCAGCAGCCGCGGUAAUACGAAGGGUGCUAGCGUUGUUCGGAAUUACUGGGCGUAAAGAGCAUGUAGGCGGUUUAUUAAGUGGGAUGUGAAAGCCCUGGGCUCAACCUGGGAACUGCAUUCCAAACUGACAAACUAGAGUACGAGAGAGGGGGGUAGAAUUCAGAGUGUAGCGGUGAAAUGCGUAGAUAUUCUGAGGAAUACCAGUGGCGAAGGCGGCCCCCUGGCUCGAUACUGACGCUGAGGUGCGAAAGCGUGGGGAGCAAACAGGAUUAGAUA
rnacentral:rRNA from 1 species